GAUGAACGCUGGCGGCGUGCCUAAUACAUGCAAGUCGAGCGAACAGACGAGGAGCUUGCUCCUCUGACGUUAGCGGCGGACGGGUGAGUAACACGUGGAUAACCUACCUAUAAGACUGGGAUAACUUCGGGAAACCGGAGCUACUACCGGAUAAUAUAUUGAACGGCAUGGUUCAAUAGUGAAAGACGGUUUUGCUGUCACUUAUAGAUGGAUCCGCGCCGCAUUAGCUAGUUGGUAAGGUAACGGCUUACCAAGGCAACGAUGCGUAGCCGACCUGAGAGGGUGAUCGGCCACACUGGAACUGAGACACGGUCCAGACUCCUACGGGAGGCAGCAGUAGGGAAUCUUCCGCAAUGGGCGAAAGCCUGACGGAGCAACGCCGCGUGAGUGAUGAAGGUCUUCGGAUCGUAAAACUCUGUUAUUAGGGAAGAACAAAUGUGUAAGUAACUAUGCACGUCUUGACGGUACCUAAUCAGAAAGCCACGGCUAACUACGUG
rnacentral:rRNA from 1 species